UUUUUGCCUUUUAUACGAGUACGCAUCCACCUAAUUUAACCAAUAUGGGUAAGUAUCCCCAAACCUCAAAGACGACCUACAACGCGCACAAAUAGAACACCCUACUUCAGAGAGUGGGGGAAACAGAGCUCUAUUACGGGCAAAGGUAAUCUAUGAUGAAAAAGGGCAGACAGGGGCUGCCUCGGGGAGGAACCAACAGGGCAGAGGCAGGAGAGAUUUUGAGGGUGCAGGAGAAUGUCCGUGUGUGUUUCCAACGGCUGCCGUCGCAACGUGCCACAAACCAAUAGCUGAAAAUGACAUAAAUGCACCUCUCUCCCGGUUGUGGGGCCCAGAAACCUGGAAUCGGAGCCCCGCUGCCCCUGAAGGCUCCAUGAAGGAAUCUCUCCUUGCUCCUCCGGUUUGUGGGAACUGCAGCCGGAAGGCCUGGGCCCCGCUGACUGCAGCUGCCUCCGGCUCCUCUCAUGCCCCUUCCCCGGAGUGUGUCUGCGUCUGUUCUUCCUCCCAUAACGGCGCCAACCCUGGAGUUGGGCCCUCCAGUCCAGCGUGAGUGACCACUGCAGGUCCUGUUUGCAAACGAGGCCACAGGCACCAGUAUCAGGCCCCAAUCUCACCUGCCGAGGGGCGUAGUCCACCUGUUCUGUCUCCGGAGCUGGGACAGCCCGGGACAAGGAUUGGGGAAACGACCUCAAGGACACCUGAGGUUUGUGCGCUUCUCCAACAGAGGAACGACCACUGGAUCCAGCCAGUGCAGUGUGUGACGGCGAUUUGGGGUACUCGGUGUAAAAAAUUUAACAAGGCAUCUGCCAUCUUUCGUCAUGCCGAUUUUGAGAUUCCGGGUGUACUGACCACUCGGUGACCCCUCGGUGUCCACUUGGGGUUGGAGAACAAGUGACCUCAUCACGUGGACACUGCCCUCCCCAGAGAGGGUGACCACUGAGAGCCUGUGACGCACAAGGCCCUUCUGACCCCCUUUCCAGCCCAGCGUCACUUCCACCAGACUGCACCCUUGGAAUCAAUCACGAGUCCAGCCCCCACGCCAAGGGAAGUGAACCCACUGCACCGAAGGGGCCAAAGAAUGGGGACCACACCUUCAAAUCACCACGCACACCCCUUUCUUGGCGCAGUGAUCUCAGCACAGCCCCCCCAUGUGAUCUCGUCCUGUGGGCUCCGAAUCCACCCCUCCCGCUAUGCCUCUGAUGCCCCACCUGCCCCUCUUGGGCAUCCUUUCGGGGGCCGGGGUCCUUCCGCCGUGGCCCCUCGUUCUCGGAGCACACAGAGAUGUUCUAGGCUCAAUGUCUACCUCUCCUUCCGCCAGUGCCGGUUCCUCUCCAUGGGAAAUGGCACCUGCACCCCACAUCUGGGUGCUCUCCCGCUUUUCAGUGUUUACAAGCUCUCUCCUAGGCUGUGGCGUUUCCUAUGCUAAUGAGCUCGCCCCCCUGGGCCGUGGUUUCCCUCUUCUCAACUGCUCCCACAUCGCCUUGUUUCCCAUCAGGCUGCUGUCUCUUCUGCUGUUUGUCUGCAGGGCUUGCUUGUAUAUUCCAAGUACUUCUGUUUGAGACGCUGCAGCCCCUCCAAUUAUGACGUCUGUCUUCUUGUCCCUAGUGGAUCCUUGGGCCAGACUCCUUUAUUUUGAA